rnacentral:tRNA from 3 species
AAGAUACUAGUAAAAAUAUUACAUUACCUUGUCAGGGCAAAAUUGUGAGUUAAAAUCCCACGUAUCUUA